GCUAGCUAUGUCAGCGUGAGAGCUUCUCCCAUUGCUGUAGUUAAUCCACCUCCCCAAGAGGCAGUAGCUAUGUGGAUGGGAGAAGCCCACCUGUCGAUAUAGCACUGUCUACACUGGGGAUUAGGUUGGCAUAACUGUGCCACUUGGGGGUGCAGAUUUUCCACACCCCUGAGUGACAUCGUUAUACCAACAUAAGUUACUUGUUUAGACCAAGCCUCAGAAAAGAAUGAAAUAAUUGCAAGGCAGACCCAUCUACUUGCAUUCAGGUCUGUGUGGUUUUGAAGGUAUCAAUGGGAGUUUGACAUUUACUUCAACAGAGACAGGAUAUCACCUCAUAUUUUUUUACAUCGGUAAGAGAUCAGUGACCAGUGCUAGUAAUGCAGUCCCGUUACAGUAACAAGGUCUGAAGUCAGAUUGACAAGAGGCAAGGAGAUCUGAGUCCUCCUCCUGUACUCUGAGAAUUGUCUCAUUACAACCUUAUCCAUAAUCUUAACCAAAAAUGGAAAACUAGAUACUAUGCAAUAUCUGGCCAGUGUCAAGUGACAGUUUCUUGAGCCACUGUUACACAUUUUUCUUUUAAAGCUCUCAGCAUUUGGCCGUUCCUUAAGUAUAGACGAUUUUCACGAGCAAAGGAUACAGUAUUUUCCUGAACCUUCACCAGAAAGAAAAGGCAUGAGUCCAAAAAACAGGUUUUGGAGCAAAGUUCUCUCAGUAUAUCCAGAAAUUUAAGGAAAUAAAUUAGUAUAUCAGUUACAGAUUACUUUGAGUUUCUUAGGCAAAUCAUUUGGGCAUAUUGUGAAAGUGUGUAUCAACUUUCCUUUAAGGAAGUGCAUUCAACAUUAGAAUGGGGGAAGCAAGCAAUAUCUUCCUGGCACAAUUGAGGCAUAGAGGUCACAGAUCAAAUUCUGCCGUGAUUAACAAUGCAUUAAAUCCCAUUAAUUUUAAAUAGGGUUUCACGGAAUGUAGGUCAGCACUGAAUUUGGCCAUAAUGUAUAUAUUCUAUCAAUUAGAAUGAUUCAGUUGUAGGCCAAUCAGACACAAUAUAUGUGCUUGGUGUUCCAGAGUGGCAAUAACAUCAGUCUAAAUAUAUUGAUUGUUAAAAUCGUAUGGUUUACAAAAUUGUAUAAAUAGGAAAAGUUAAAGACUAAAACAUUUUGACCUUCUGGCCAGAUUCACUGAAGAGCCAAAGUUUAUGGUUGCUUUGUGUCACUAGACUGAUGCAAAGCAGCUGAAGCAAACAAGUGAAUCUGACCCUCUUGACUUAUGAAAAGUAGAUGCACAUCUGUUACAUAUUUCUGCAAUUUCUUUUUUAAACCAAAGUAAACUUUUGGGUGCACAACUAGCUAAUGCCUUGUACUGGUCCAUGUAUUUUAUGUACCAAAACAGUUUCCAACCAGACUUGCAGAAUCAGGCCUUUUCAUAUAUUCUAAAGCCAAAAGGGACCACUGUGAUAUCUAUUCGGGCCUCCUGCAAAGUCCAGGCAGUAGGAUUUACCUGAAAUAAUUCCUUUUUGAACUACAGCCUAUAUUUUAGAAAAGCAUGCAGUCUUGAUUUCCGGUGAUGGAGAGUCCACCACAAUCUUUGGUGAGUUGUUCCAAAAAUGUAUGCUUUAUUUGCAAUCUGAAUUUGUCUAUCUUCAACUUUCAGCCAUUGGAUUUCGUUUUAUAUUUGUCUGCUAGAUUAAAAAGCCAGUUAUCAAAUUUCUGUUCCGCAGAAUGUACCUACAGAUUGUGAACUAGUCACCCCUUAACCUUUCUUUGUUAAACUAAAUAGGUUGAGCUCCUGUCACUACAGGACAUGGUUUUCCAAUCUCUCAAAUAUUUUCAUGGUUCUUCUUUGAACCCUCUCUAAUUUAUCAACAUCGUUCUUGAAUUGUAGACACCAGAACUGGACACACAGUUUUCCAGUAGUGCUUGCACAGUGCCAAAUACAAAGGAGAGCUGUACUUUCUUUAUGAAAGUGAUUAGAGGAGAAAGAGCUUUCUAAGAGAACUGCUUUCCUAAAACUCAGACUGGAGAAGGUUCUGUGAGACCAAAGAGCUGUCUGAUGACCCAGCAGAGACAGCUGUAUGAUCUAUUGAAUUCCAUUCUUUGGUGAAUCUUUCUGUUUUUAAUUUAAAAUAAAUAGAUACAAUUAAUUAAGAUAAUCCAGGUGAGUUCUUGUGAUUGAUUUUUUCUCAUUUGUAAAUUCCUAUUUUCUAUGAAAAUAGCAAACACAGUGUAAUUAAUUAAUUAAAAACACCUUCUCUUUCCUUCUUUCUCACUUCCUUCCAAUGCA